CCACAGUGACCUGCCGCCCAGGGAAUCCCCCCAGCACUCCAAAAGGUAAGGAGGCUGGGGGGAUUAAAUUUUAAACAAAAAACUAGUGUUAGUGUUUGAGUGUGUGUGAGUGUUAGAGUGCGUGUUAGAGUGAGUGUGAGAGUGAGUGUGAGUGUUAGUGUGAGUGUUAGUGUGAGUGUUAGUGUGUGUGUGAGUGUUAGUGUGUGUGUGAGUGUUAGUGUGUGUGUGAGUAUUAGUGUGUGUCUGCUAGUGAGUGUUAGUGUGUGUCUGCUAGUGAGUGUCAGUGAAUGUGUUACUGUGUG